GCAGCAAACAGCAUUUGGAGUCUUUCUCUUUCGCCUUUGGGGAUCCAUAUGCCACAGUCUAGUUAGCUGCCCAACGACUGACAAACAUAAAUAAAAGGUAAUGGUUGUAGUAAGCGGAGUUCCUGUGAGUCAAAAAGUGUUUCUCAGGGAGGGAUCAACACGCUUCUUAUCACACUGGAGUCACCAAGCAGCCAAAGUUUAGCUCUUCCAAAAACAAACUAAUAAUAAAGGCAAUAAAAAUGUCUGCCCUGUCCACCAACUAUACUCA
rnacentral:lncRNA from 1 species